AUGGAUGUGUUCACAGCUGAAUCCAGUUCACGUGGAGAAGGGGUGAAGCUGAGAAGUCCAGUCGCUCAGUUGUGUUUGACUCUCUGUGACCCCAUGGACUGCAGCACGCCAGGCCUCCCAACCCAUCGCCAACUCCCAGAGCUGGCUGAAACUCGUUUGAAGCUGAGAAGACUACUCUCUGCAAUCAAUAAACACCAUAAAUGUAGGAUUCUUGUGAAAGUGAGAGAGCCUACACAAAAAAUUCCUCUUCAAAACACUGAUAUGAAAUACUGCCUGAGGAGCUUCCCAGGCUUUUAGUUGGAGACUUCAACUGAAGAGAAAGACACACGCGCAGAGGGAAGGACAGCAUAAGAUGGAAGUUAUGUAUAACGUCAUCUCGGAAGAAAGGUAUCAUCAUUUCCGCCACAUUCUGUCAGUCUCCAGAGCAUCCUUGCAGGACCAGGGCCUGAGAUGCAGGGCGGCAGUGAAGAGCAGCGCAGGGUGGGGAAGGGGUGCAGCCCACGGGGCCGUCGUGAGGGGCUGCUGCUACCAGGCCUUUCAGUGUCCCAUCCAGGCUUUCAGAUGGACGCAUUCUAGGUUUCUUCUGAAGAAAUGAGUAAUCCCCACGGACGUUAAUUAAGUCACGGUAGUGGACUAAGACCUACGGCUAGCCUUAGAUAAAUUACUACUCUAUUGGCACCCUCCAGUCAGCUGGAUCAUGUCUCUUAGAUGACGGCCUAAACUUACGCGCCAUGGUUUCCAAGUUAUUUCAUUUUCCAGUUUUCAAAGAAAAAGGAGAAGGAUUGCUCUUGUUUCAUCUGGAGAAUAGCUGCAUGGAAGAUUCCUCUUCUACACGUGGCCUGUGGGCUGUGCUCAGUUGCUCAGUCGUGUCCAGCUCUGUGGCCCCAUGGACUGUAGCCCACCAGGCUGCUCUGUCCAUGGGCAUGCUCUAGGCAGAAAUGCUGGAGUCGGUUGCCAUGCCCUCCUCCAGGGGCUCUUCCAGUACAGAAAUUGAACCCAGGUCUCCCACAAGGCAAGCAGAUUCUUUACCAUCUGAGCCACCAGGGAAGCCCAAGAAUCCUGGAGUGGGUAGCCUAUUCCUUCUCCAGGGGGAUUUCCUGACCCAGGAAUUGAACUGGGGUCCUCUGCACUGCAGGCGGGUUCUUCACCAUGCUUAAUUUAGCUGCAUGGAAAUACGUCAUGAUGGUGUAUGAUUCGGUGGACUUAGGUAGGGAUCUGUGAAGAUAAAGGGAGUGUGGAGGCAGAGAGUCAUGAAUUCAUUUUAGUUUUCAACUUGUACAAAGCAGUGUCUUCAGCAGGGGAGAUGUGAUGAUAAGACAUUCUGCUCACCCUCAAGGAGCUCAGAGUAGUUACAAGCUUCAGACCAAACGUAAACGUGGGUCAUCAUUCAUGUCCCCAACCCACUAGCUUCAGGGUGGACAUCCUGUCUGUCAAGACUGUGGUGAAAACCGGUGAGAUGAUCUGUAUGAUGUUGUGAUCUAGUCAAAACCGAUGUGUUAUAUAAAUGCCUUAUUAAAUUUCAAAGGGCCUGUCACAGGCACGGUCAUUAUCAGAUGUUUCUAUACAAAAUGUGUAUUUUCCCCUCCUGCAACAUAAGUAUUAAAAUUUCUAAUACAGUCACACCUGUGAUCAGUCUUCUCUUACAAAUAGGAACCAAGAUGGCAAAAUGGAAGUAAUUCUCUAAUUAAUUCAAAAUAGAACCAAACCCUUUCCCCUAAUUAUUUGCCAAAAAGAAUCAUAGUAUGUUUCUUUUGGGGAAAUUAGUAUUUUAGGCAAAAGUGAUUGUUGGCUUGCAGAGUCUUAAAUAAUUUUCAAAUAUUUAAAAUAAUUUGGAGUAAAAUACCAUCCUCAUUUUGAGAAAUAAGACAGCGAACUUAAAAGCCUUUAAGUUCAGACAAAAACACUGUAUAAGAAUAAAGAAUCAAGAUAACAUUUUUGUUCUAUAUUG
rnacentral:lncRNA from 1 species